CAGUAGCCGCGGUAAUACGUAGGUGGCAAGCGUUGUCCGGAAUUAUUGGGCGUAAAGGGCUCGCAGGCGGUUUCUUAAGUCUGAUGUGAAAGCCCCCGGCUCAACCGGGGAGGGUCAUUGGAAACUGGGAAGCUUGAGUGCAGAAGAGGAGAGUGGAAUUCCACGUGUAGCGGUGAAAUGCGUAGAGAUGUGGAGGAACACCAGUGGCGAAGGCGACUCUCUGGUCUGUAACUGACGCUGAGGAGCGAAAGCGUGGGGAGCGAACAGGAUUAGAUACCCCAGUAGUCCCUGUCUCUUAUAC
rnacentral:rRNA from 1 species